AUGGAAGACAAGCCAAUUUGGAAGCAGGUUGGAUCCAGCUUCAUUCAACAUUACUACCAGUUAUUUGAUAACGAUAGAACCCAAUUAGGCGCAAUUUACAUUGAUGCGUCAUGCCUUACGUGAGAAGGACAACAGUUCCAAGGGAAAGCUGCCAUUGUGGAGAACUUGUCUAGCCUUCCGUUCCAGAAAAUCCAGCACAGCAUCACGGUGCAGGACCAUUAGCCCAUGCCAGAUAGCUGCAUCAUCAGCAUGGCUGUGGGUCAGCUUAAGGCGGAUGAAGACCUCAUCAUGGGUUUCCACCAGAUGUUCCUAUUAAAGAACAUCAACGAUGCUUUCACCAAUGACAUGUUCAGGCUUGCCCUGCACAACUUCGGU
rnacentral:lncRNA from 1 species